GAUGAACGCUGGCGGCGUGCCUAAUACAUGCAAGUCGAGCGAACAGAUGAGGAGCUUGCUCCUCUGACGUUAGCGGCGGACGGGUGAGUAACACGUGGAUAACCUACCUAUAAGACUGGGAUAACUUCGGGAAACCGGAGCUAAUACCGGAUAAUAUAUUGAACCGCAUGGUUCAAUAGUGAAAGACGGUUUUGCUGUCACUUAUAGAUGGAUCCGCGCUGCAUUAGCUAGUUGGUAAGGUAACGGCUUACCAAGGCAACGAUGCGUAGCCGACCUGAGAGGGUGAUCGGCCACACUGGAACUGAGACACGGUCCAGACUCCUACGGGAGGCAGCAGUAGGGAAUCUUCCGCAAUGGGCGAAAGCCUGACGGAGCAACGCCGCGUGAGUGAUGAAGGUCUUCGGAUCGUAAAACUCUGUUAUUAGGGAAGAACAAAUGUGUAAGUAACUAUGCACAUCUUGACGGUACCUAAUCAGAAAGCCACGGCUAACUACGUG
rnacentral:rRNA from 1 species